AGCCUACUCUAGCCCAACCACCCCCCAACAAAACUCUACAACCUCAAAUCAAAACAUUUUCUCGUCUAAGUAUAGGUGAUAGAAAAGACACCCGGAGCAAUAGACCUGUAGUACCGUAAGGGAAAGAUGAAAUAACAAUGAAAACCUAAGCAACAAACAGCAAAGAUUAACCCUUGUACCUCUUGCAUCAUGAUUUAGCAAGAACAACCAAGCAAAACGAACUUUAAGCUUGCCACCCCGAAACCCAAGCGAGCUACUCACAAGCAGCUACCCCUGAGCAAACCCGUCUCUGUGGCAAAAGAGUGGGAAGACUUGUUAGUAGAGGUGAAAAGCCUACCGAGCUGGGUGAUAGCUGGUUGCCUGUGAAAUGAAUCUAAGUUCAUCCUUAAUUUUACCGCACUUUCAGACCCAAACACUUACCCGUAAUAGAUUAAGAGUAAUUUAAAGGAGGAACAGCUCCUUUAAAAAAGAAUUCAACCUCUCCCAGAGGAUAAGCGCCAACCUGACAAAAUUGUAGGCCUUCAAGCAGCCAUCACCAAAGAGUGCGUCAAAGCUCUUCCCCUUAAAAAUCCAAAAACAAACGCGACUCCCUCAUCCAUAACAGGCUAACCUAUCGUAAUAGGAGCAUUAAUGCUAAAAUAAGUAACUAAGGACACCUCCUCCCAAAGCACAAACUUACAUUCCACAUUAUUAACAGAACAACUAAUACUCAAACCACUACAAGACCCAGUAUUCAACUACCCUGUUAAACCAACUCAGGAGUGCUUAAUUGGAAAGAUUCAAACCUGUAAAAGGAACUAGGCAAAUUCCAAGGCCCGACUGUUUACCAAAAACAUAGCCUUCAGCACACCAAGUAUUGAAGGUGACGCCUGCCCAGUGACACUAAGUUCAACGGCCGCGGUAUCCUAACCGUGCAAAGGUAGCGCAAUCAAUUGUCUCAUAAAUCGAGACUUGUAUGAACGGCCAAACGAGGUCUUAACUGUCUCUUACAGGUAAUCAGUGAAAUUGAUCUCCUCAUGAAAAAGUGAGGAUAAGCCCAUAAGACGAGAAGACCCUGUGGAACUUAAAAAUCAGCAGCCACUCUAAACCAAACCAAAACCUGCCAGGCACACCCCCCUAGAUAAUUGGCUCGCAUUUUUUCGGUUGGGGCGACCUUGGAGAAAAACACAACCUCCAAAAAUAAGACCUCCCCUCUUAACCAAGAUCAACCACUCAACGUACUAACAGUAACCAGACCCAGCAAAGCUGACCAAUGAACCAAGCUACCCCAGGGAUAACAGCGCAAUCCCCUUCAAGAGCCCAUAUCGACAAGGGGGUUUACGACCUCGAUGUUGGAUCAGGACAUCCUAAUGGUGCAGCCGCUAUUAAGGGUUCGUUUGUUCAACGAUUAAUCAGUCCUACGUGAUCUGAGUUCAGACCGGAGCAAUCCAGGUCGGUUUCUAUCUAUGACCAGACCUUUCCCAGUACGAAAGGACCGGAAAAGUAAGGCCAAUACUCCAAGCACGCCUUCCCUAAAAAGUAAUGAACACAUCUAAAUUACCUAGAGGACCCCCAAUCAAUAGCCCUAAACAAAGGCA
rnacentral:rRNA from 1 species